rnacentral:rRNA from 1 species
UGGGGAAUAUUUCACAAUGGGCGGAAGCCUGAUGCAGCGACGCCGCGUGGGGGAUGAAGGCCUUCGGGUUGUAAACUCCUUUCGACAGGGACGAAGCUUUUGUGACGGUACCUGUAUAAGAAGCACCGGCUAACUACGUGCCAGCAGCCGCGGUAAUACGUAGGGUGCGAGCGUUGUCCGUAAUUACUGGGGGUAAAGAGCUCGUAGGUGGUUUGUCGCGUCGUCUGUGAAAUUCCGGGGCUUUACUCCGGGCGUGCAGGCGAUACGUGCUGACUUGAGUGCUGUAGGAGAGACUGGAAUUCCUGGUGUAGCGGUGAAAUGCGCAGAUAUCAGGGGGAACACCGAUGGCGAAGGCAGGUCUCUGGGCAGUAACUGACGCUGAGGAGCGAAAGCAUGGGUAGCGAACAGG